AAAGUACUCCUUCCGUCCCAAAAUUCUUGUCUUAGAUUUGUCUAGAUACGGAUGUAUCAAGUCACAUUUUAGUAUUAGAUACAUCCAUAUCUAGACAAAUCUAAGACAAGAAAUUUGGGACAGAGGGAGUAGUUG
rfam:Triticum aestivum genome assembly, contig: Triticum_aestivum_CS42_TGACv1_scaffold_019313_1AS